rnacentral:tRNA from 1 species
GGGUGUAGUUCAGUGGCUCAGCACUUACCCGGCAUGCAGGAGGCCCUGGAUUCAAUUCCCAGCACCAGCA